rnacentral:tRNA from 1 species
UCCCUGGUGGGCCAGUGGUUAAGACCACGAGCUUCCAAUGCAAGUGCACAGGUUCAAUCCCUGCUCAGGGAA